UACGUGAGGGGGCAAGCGUUGUCCGGAAUCAUUGGGCGUAAAGAGCGUGUAGGCGGCCUGAUAAGUCGGUUGUGAAAGUCAAGGGCUCAACCCUUGAAUGCCGGCCGAUACUGUCAGGCUAGAGUCCGGAAGAGGCGAGUGGAAGUUCCUGGUGUAGCGGUGAAAUGCGCAGAUAUCAGGAGGAACACCGAUGGCGAAGGCGACUACCUGGCCUGUUCUUGACGCUGAGGCGCGAAAGCUAGGGGAGCAAACGGG
rnacentral:rRNA from 1 species